GCCUACCAUGGUGGUAACGGGUAACGGGGAAUUAGGGUUCGAUUCCGGAGAGGGAGCCUGAGAAACGGCUACCACAUCCAAGGAAGGCAGCAGGCGCGCAAAUUACCCAAUCCCGACACGGGGAGGUAGUGACAAUAAAUAACAACACAGGGCUCUUUAGGGUCUUGUUAUUGGAAUGAGUACGAUUUAAAUCUCCUAACGAGGAACAAUUGGAGGGCAAGUCUGGUGCCAGCAGCCGCGGUAAUUCCAGCUCCAAUAGCGUAUAUUAAAGUUGUUGCAGUUAAAAAGCUCGUAGUUGAAUUUCAGGCCUGGCUGGACGGUCCGCCCUUCGGGUGAGUACUGUCUGUGGUCGGGUCCUACCUUCUGGCGAAGCGUCAUGGCCUUAACCGGCCGUGGCGGGGAACCAGGACUUUUACUGUGAAAAAAUUAGAGUGUUCAAAGCAGGCAAUCGCUUGGAUACAUUAGCAUGGAAUAAUGGAAUAGGACAAUGGUUCUAUUUGUUGGUUUCUAGGACCGUUGUAAUGAUUAAUAGGGAUAGUUGGGGGCAUUAGUAUUCAAUUGUCAGAGGUGAAAUUCUUGGAUUUAUUGAAGACUAACUACUGCGAAAGCAUUUGCCAAGGAUGUUUUCAUUAAUCAAGAACGAAAGUUAGGGGAUCGAAGACGAUCAGAUACCGUCGUA
rnacentral:rRNA from 1 species